GGAGACUGAGGCGUUGAGGAGGAUGGUGGGGGAGCUGUGUGCGAGGAGCGCGCAGCAGUGCGAGCUUAUGAGCGGGUUGGUCCAGCGGGUGGAGCAGAUGGAGCGGAGGAUGCAGAGACUGGAGCGCAGGAGGAAGAAGAAAGCAGGUGCUAGUCCACUUGCAAAGAAUAAGCAAUGACAUUCUCCUGCUUAUUUUUUUGUUUUAAUUUCUUUGUUUCCGCAGCAUAGAAC
rnacentral:misc_RNA from 1 species